GGGUGUAGUAGGAGUGGUGGCGCGAGCUUUGGCACUGAGGAGCGUCAUCAAUGCGCGUGGUGGGGGUGGGCUGAUGUUUGGAUUUGGUGAUCUUAAUGAGCUUUUCCAACCUGAAUGAUGCUAUGACCGAGCCGCCACGUGGUCACCAGUUUUACUUCAGGUAUUUAAGCAGGCAGCAGUUAUUAAACGUCACGUUAGCGUGGAGAAGGAGCUUUCUGCUUUACGUAAAGUGGGUGAACUGGUUUUUCAGUUUACGCUGCGUGAUGGGCCUUUCUAGAGCUUCCAGAGAGGCAGAACUGUGUUGGAAGAGCAAAGGCUCAGUACCUGCCCCACUUCAGAUCUUCUACGUGACCAGCUGGAAAUUUCAUGAAUCACAGGUGAGACCUGCACAGAGAGCUUCUGCAACAGUUUCAUUUGGACAAGAGGAGCAAAAUAGUCCUUCAUCAGUACUAAAAGCUAUCUUGAAGCUCUUAUUAAACUGCCAGUGCAGAUAGUCUCCACUUCUACUAUUUUGUUACAACACUUUGAAACUAUAAUCUGCACACAGCAAGGAAUGUGAAUGCCUGUGCUACAUCAGUUGUGUAAAAUAGCAUUCAUUUCUUUUUCUAGAGAAGUACUGUUAGCAGUAUUCUAAGUAGUACAUGCUCUCCCAGUUUGAUUAAAGUGCUAUUCUCAAAUGUAAAGCCUCUUUCAGUGUUUCAGUAGGACAGACUGCUCCAGGUAUGAUUUGCAAGUCUUGAACAUGCAUCACCCUGUAUUUUCAAAGUAUUCCUGAGGGAUGGUAGGUCAUAAUAAACAACACUACUUGCUGACAAAUAAAUUCAAGUCAUACUAUAAGAGAAUAUUGUUGAAUACACAGAUCUGACCGACUUAAUAUGGUUUCUGUCUGUUGGAAAUCAUGGUUAAAAAGAUACGGUCAGUUAACAUCUGAAAGUUGAAUGUUUGACUUGUGUAAAAGGAAGUGAUUAAAUAAGUCCUGUAGAAAUAUAUUUAGUUCAUACUUCAUACCUGCAACAGACAAAUUCAAUUCUCCUUCCGCUUGCAAAUACGAAAAUAAUUGUUUCUGAACGUGAAGUAGGAUAGGGUAGCCACAGAGAAGGCUGAGGCUUCAUUCCACCUUUAACAGAAUGUGUCAUGAUUUGACUGAAGUUUACUGAAAGAAGUAGCAAGCAGAAAAGUCAGCUAGCACACAAAUAGACUUGUGCCCUUCAAACUAAUGAGCUUACCAGUGGCAUUCUCUGGAAUUGGUGCUCUUUUGGAAUUGCAAGGAACUUUUAUACCAGUUGUAUGUUGUUGUGCUUAAAGCUGUUGUAUUAACAGAAGUGUAAGAGAAAGCUUCUCUUGGCCUGCCAUAAGGACAUUAUCCAGCAGGUGGAGUUUGACAGGAUGGUGAGCACAGGCCAAGUAGACAAGGGCGAACAAGUUACUGGCACACAGGAGCUGAAGAUUGCAUGAGCAUUGAACACCUAAUAGAUUGGCACAUAAGAUACUGGAAAUCUGCUCUCAGGACUCUUGGAGCCUUCCCUUCUGCAGGCUGCACAGCCCAGCUCUCAGCCUGUCCUCACAGGGAGGUGUUCCAUCCCUGGGCUCAUUUCUGUGGCCCUCCUCUGGAUGCUCUCCAACAGCUCCAUGUCUCUCCUGUACUGAGCACUCCCCAUCUGGACGCAGUGCUCCAGGUGAGGUCUCACAGCACAGAGCAGAGGGGCAGAUCCCCUCCCUCACCCUGCUGGCCACGCUGCUUUGGAUGCAGCCCAGGAUGUGGUUGGCUCUCUGGGCUGCGAGGGCACAGUGCUGGCUCACGUCCAGGUGCCAUCCAUGAGUACACCCAGGUCUUUUUCAGCAGGGCUGUGCUCCAUCCUUAUAUCCUCAUCUUGAACCGGUAGUUUGGGCUGCCACAACCCAGGGGCAGAGCUUGCACUUGGCUUUGUUGAGCCUCACAAGGUUCUCCUGGGCCCACCGCUCAGCCUGCCGAGGUCUCUGUGAUGGCAUCCUGUCCACGGGCCGUGCUGACUGCACCACACAGCUCGGUGUUGUCUGUGAACUGCUGAGGGCGCAUUCGAUCCCACUGUCGGUGCCACUGAUGAAGAUGUUCAAGAGCACCAGACCCAGUACUGGCACUUAAGGGACACCAUUGGUCGCUGAUCUCAGUCUGGACGUUGAGCCAUUGACCACCACUCUCUGGGUAUGAUCUUGCAAGUUCCUCAUCCACUGAACAGUCCACCCAACAAAUCUGUAUCUUCCUGAUUUGGAGAGAAGGAUGUUGUGGGAGAUAAAUGUCAGCACUGAAGGAAGUUUGACAGUGCUUGGGAAACCGAAGAGUUCCUAUUAAAAUAUAUCAGCUUUAAAACAGACAAGACCUGUAAAGAGAGACAUCUUGUACCUACUCCACAGCUGGACCAUGAGAAAACUUGAUGCCAUUGGAGACCAGUGUUCCUAUGGAACUGAUUUUCUGACCAGGCUGUGUCAUGGAAAGGAAAUGUAACUUGAGGAAGUACAGCUGUGGUGGAGGAACACGUGUACUGGGCCCUAAGACCUGACUCUUGUAACAAGAACUAGAACAACAAAGACAAGAGAAGGAAAUUAAGGAAAGAAGGAUGACUCACAACUUGUAUAUUGAAGAUCACAUUCAGAAAUGGUGACAAAGAAGCUAUGAACAAAUCAAGAUUGAAAAAAAAGAAAAGAAAAAACAGCAUUUAUGCCAGGAAAACUCAAUUGUUUGAGUGCUCAUGGAAAAGAAAUGCAAGAGCUGCCUUGGUAUCACUAAAGCAAGUUCACUGAAAAAUAGGACACUUUGAGAAGGACUCAGAAACAGCAUUUGGAAUGGAGAACUCAAACUGCAUUGUAGGCCGAACUAAUGCCUGAUAUUUAAGUAUAGGGGAGAUGUGGAGUUCUGAAGCUGAAAUUGAGAAGCCUGGAUCUGACAUGGAAUGUAAAGGAAUGACAAAACUGGAUGCCAAGAGGCGUUUUCAGCAGCAGUAUUGCCAGGACACUGAAGAAACCAGAGAGACAAGCAGGAAAAUGGGAAAUGUCAAAAGUCUCUACCGUGGUCUCAGGAUCAGAGAGAGGAAGGAUGUUUCAGAGAACAAUCUGAAAGGGAAAUGUGAGAUUUGGCAGCAGGUUAGCUAAGGAAGAAAUAAGAGUGAAAGAAGAGUCAGCUUGGGGAGUACUGUAGGCUGUCUCUACUGUAAGAUAAAUUCACAGCAAGCCCAGUAUGUCUAAGCAGUAUGAAUGAGCUUGUAUUUUAAUGCCCAAGAGGUGAGGGAAAAAAUAAAUUUCCUUUGGUUGAGAAGACAAAAAGUGGCUUCUUUCAUCCACCUGAGAAGGAGUAGGGCUGCAGGCACGGUAGACAAGAAGUCAGAUGCUGUGGCAUGCCAACUGCCAAGACACCUAGCAAGUCUGUCUUUCCUUGUCCUCCUGUGUUGUUUUUUUAUCACCCUGCUGGUCUGCAAGGUUAUAUGCUGCUUCUUUUUUUCCCCCAUCCUGAUUACUGCUUGCUUUGCUAAUAAGGGAAUAAUGAUGAGGAAGUAUGUCAUACAAAUUGUUAGACAAAGAUAAGGAUGGCUACAGGGAUAGCGCCAACUGAGAAGGCAGCAACAGUGAAAUUGACUGUUUUUAGUAAUCACAUGAGAAGAAAUACAUGCUUUUGUUUUCAGAGUAAACAUUUUACUGUCUAGAUGGAAAAGUCCAGCAGCCAAAGUUGUUAUUACAAGCUGAUUUAAAGACACAGGUGAGGAAGUACUUGAAGAUAUUUGUUUGCUUCGUGUUGGCUUUAUAAGACGUGGCUUACUGGUUUCUGAAGGCUUGAAAAUGUCUUGCAGUUUUUCAUGUUGACUGGUAAAUCCUUUUGUGCCUAGAGUGCCAUCCCCUCAUAGAGUCACUGUUCAUAAUACUGAACUAUGACUGUAUAUGAGAAGGAUGGUUGUACAAUCAGAGGAUCUGAAAAACUGCUAUGUCUGUUGUUCUUAAUACUCUUAAGGCUUUAUAAUGCACUGUAUUUUCUGAACUGAUGCAAGAACAAGCCUUUGAUGAUAGAAAAACUGCAGUUUAUAGUACAGAAGGAAGUGUGAAUUGAUUUUGCCAAUUUGGGAAAUGAAAUAGGCAGUACAGAAGUUCUUAGACCCACUUUCCCAGUUGAAAAGCACUUAGGUAAAACUGGACAAAAAGCCAGAGGAGAACUAAGUGAAAUUUCACACUCAGUGAGAUGCCUCACGUCUGAGCAACCAGCCAGACCUUAGUGUUUUAAUAUCCCUAAUCUAUUCUGUGCUUUAAUGAGAUCUUGAGCUAUUGGCUCUGAAGAUUAUUAGUGCCCUGGUGAAUAGCCAUUCAAUCUUCAGGCGUGUGAUGAGAAUUUGCUUCCUCUUUCAAUCCUUCAGCUUCUUGGCUAGAAUUUAUUAUUUCCCUAAAUAAAAGCAGCUGCAAAAUUUCAUUAGGUGUUAUAGUACCCCUUUCUGCUGUAUUUAACCUUGUCUCAUUAAAUAGAUUACAUCCUUGCCUCUUGUAAUUAAGUGCAAAUCAAACACAAUAUUUUAAUAUUAUAUUAAAAAUGUAAGAAAUAGGACGCCUUUUCAGCUGCCAUUCUGAAAUUCCUGAAGGCAGGAGUGCUACUUUGACAGUGACAAAUUCUUCCAGAAACAUCUGGUCUAUAAAGUACAUUUUCUCCUUAUAGAUCUGAUAGUAAAAUCAUAAAUACCAAAGACAAAGUGUUCUGUUCUGUCACACUUGAAUUCCAUUUAAAGAGAGUUCUUUAUCUAUUUCAUCUGUUCAGUAUCUGAGUGAUUUAACUACCUGCAAAGGCUUCUGUUGAGUAUGGGUUUUCUGGACACCAGCAAUCUUAAAUAUUAGAAGAGCCCAGGCUGUAGAGAAAAAAAAAAAACAUGAAUCUAAUAAUGGGUUGUGUAUUAAUUCAGCAAGCCUUUGGUUUUAUUUAAUAAGCAAAGAAAAAUUAUACUUCCACAAUCUACUGAGAGUCCAGUCAAACUAUGUGAUAAAUACUGACAAGAAAAAAUUAUCUUGCAUGUUCUAAAGUUGGGUCAAGAGAAGCACUAUGAACCCACACCUUCCUUAUGUGAACUUGCUAAGUCCCACGUCUAAAUUUCAUCCAUUUAACAUUUGUCACAUAACUGGGGUCCUUCAGUUAAGUUCUUUGCAGAAAUAAAAGAGGAAUUGUCUGUUUGAGGGCUUUGAUGUUGCAUCUCUCUUGAAAGCACCUUUCUCCCUGUGCUGACUGUAAGGUUGUGCAGGGCAGCAGUGCUGAUCUGAAGUUGGAGAUGUAAGUUCAGUGGUAUUCUCUGUGCUCAAUGUAACCAAAAUGCACUGUGUGUCUCCAUCCUAUACCUUUGGAGUUAAGCAUUAGGUAAAUAUAGAGCAUUUCCCCAAGUUUGUUUCAGGUAUGAACUAUGUGUAUGCUAUUAGCUAUCUCUGUAUCCAGGAGAGAUUUAUGUUGAUAAUAUUAUCAUUAACUCUAAUUUGAUUUCAAACUGAGUCACUGAUUACAUGGUUUCUAAGUCUCAGAUUCUGCUUCCUUGGGGAAGCAGAGGUGAGAAAGUUUGCAUGCUAUUGCAUAUAUAAUUAAAAACCACUUCCCAUUAUGUAUAUAUGCUGUCCCUGCCCUGCUAUACUGUCCUUUGCUCCUUUGCACCUUUUCCAUCCUAGCUGGUAGUGAUGCAGCAGCAGUCAGUCCGUUCUGUUACGUGUGCCUGAGUCGGGCUGCAGCCUUUUCUUAACAAGAGCCAAGGGCAGGUAUCAUGCUGCUCUGAUUUACCUGCAUGGCUGCGUUAGACCCAGUCAUUUCAAAGUUCUUAAUGAUGGCAAUUUAUCAAACAAGCCUUAAAAUAAUAGGCACUGUUUCCAAAAUGCCAUGGCAUUAGCAACCCACUCUUUAUGGAGUGGCAUAAUGUUUUCUUAAAAAAAUAUGUAAUGGACAAAUAAAUAACAACAACGACAAAAAACCUCAAAAAGAAAUAAGAAAAACACCUCCCCCACCCCAUGUUUGGAACAAGCUCGAUACGUGGUAUGUUUUCACAUUGUUUAGUACAGUCUGAAAAUUGCCUAAGUGCACAAAAUGGGUCACCCUGAUUAUGUUUUGAGGCUGUGAAUUCUUGCAAGAAGUUGUUAAUGCACGAGCAGUCCUGCUCAGCAGAGUACGUUACAGCAGGAGCACGGCUACAGCUUACUGUGGGAGGUGGGAAGUGGCUCAGUUUGAGAUCGGAUGAGAACAGCCAACUACUUCACCUGAAAAGAUCUCUCUCUAGAGGAAGGUCAGGCUAAUUCUGCUAGAAUCGUGCAAACCAGUAAUUUGAAGUGCUCCUUGCAGUGAAUCGAUGGAUGUGCAUUACUUUGUGAAAGUGUGCAUUAAUGUUUGUAAGUAUUAACACUUAAAAUACAUUCCUUGCUCUCUCUUAGUUGAUAAUGUCAUCUCUGGAAGUGUUUAGCAAAUUAUAAAAUGUAAUUAAUACAUAUAUUUGUGUGUGCAUGGCUUAUAUUUGUCUCUUUUUGAGAGGGCAAGCCUUAGGCUGAAGUGCUUGCUAUUUUGCAAAGCCUUGAGGACUGUACUGACCUGGUAAGUCAGAAGUUGUUCCAUCUUCUGUUUUGACAGUAGGAAUAGGAAGAGAAUUGCUUUCCCUACAGUGCCAAAGUGAGAAGGAACUUAACACUGAUCUGUGAGCUUUUUAGCUCUGUAGGCUGUGUCAGUGUAGGAAAUUGUAUGGAUGAAUGGAUGCGGAUCUACAGAAACAAGCAGGUGUUGGUGCAGGCUCAAGGUACUCAGUAUAUAUGCAUUCAGGAGGGAUGAGGGAUUUAACGAUGAUCUGAUCACUUAGGAUCUUAUUUUGUGAACUGAAUGCUUAUUUACGGUUGAAGUGCACUUCCUAUUUAGUUUCAUCUGAAAGGAGUCUAGGUAGUGCACGCCAGAAGUAAUCCACCGUAUGAGCCAAAGCAGGUGAGUGGGGACAGUCAGGAGGUGUACUUCUAAUAAAUGGGUUUAUUUCUUAGGAAAUGUCUUGGCUCUACUGUUAUUGCUCUAGCACGAUUAAGGUCUUGGCUACUGAAGUAUAUUGGUGGAAUGUGAGAAGCAAUCAAAACCAAUUCAGCAUCCUGGUAGUUUUGCUAUGGCUCAACAGGAGCUGGAUCUGAGAAUGAGUGAGAGAAGCAGUCAGUCUCUAUUGUUCGGCCUCUGUGAGUAAAAACAUAACAAUUAGAAACUGGAAAAGGAGUUAAUGCCAGGCUUGCGCUGGUAAUGAUUGACUUUUCCAUUCAUGUGGCUGCAUAUACAAGGCCAUCAAGAGAUGAGGAAUAAGGAUUGUAUUUACCAAACUCAGUGUAUUUCUGUGAGCUCUGUACUUACUGUUGCUGCACUAAUGUGGCUAUUUCAGGACUACUGGUUUGUAAAAUAAGAUACUUCAUUUUUACCAUCACUCAUAUAAGCUUGGCAUUCUACUGGCAUUGCAUUAAGGAUAUAAAUUCAUCUUCUGAAAAAACAAACAUUGAUAGUAUAAGAAAUUGGAAAUUGCUAAUAUUAACUUCAAAUGAUAAGGUGUCAGCUAUUACAAAUUCUAUGGGGCACAGUGUAAUUUGGAAACAAAAGAGACAGCUAAAAGUAAGAAUAUAUGUUUUCAACAAACCGUGUGGCCGUGCUGUACCUUCAGCACAAUAUAAUCUCAUGGAUUAGAGAAACUUCUACUUAACCCUCCAGUAUCAGGGUUCAUGUUGCUCAUCUGUCCACUUGCUGCUUGCAGAAUGGAGCUCAUCACUAGCUGUCACAGGAAGCUUAGUCAGCUCUGUUAAAUAUAUAGGAUGUCUGAUUUUCAGCUGUAUGAUGAAGCUUAACAUCUAAUCUUAAUGUUGGGUACAGUCAGCUGUAAAGGAAAAAGCUGUUUGGAAAGCUCAGAACUCGUAUGGCUGAGCAGAAUUUGCUUAUAACGCCGGUGAAGUAGUACAGGUCUCAUGAGCUAUGACCGCUGAGUGAGUUUAAUUUCUAUGAUAUCAUAAGUGCGAUUCUCUCAUGCUUUCCAAGGCUAAGUAAGGUGUAGCUAUAAUCAAACAUGUAGCCAUUAAAGCUGCUUAGUCCUAGAGUCAGAUUCAUUUCCUGUCUUCAAGCACUAGUGGACUGUUGAAAUUUGGGAUGCAGGCCUACGAUGACACAAAAUGCGUUAUAAUAUACUUGGUGGGAACCUCUGCCAUUAUUAUUAUUUAUUUUUUAAAUGUCAGUUGUCAAACUGGAAACGUUUUUCAGGGAAAAAAAAAACAAAAAACCCAAAACAUUUUACUGAGGAUUUCACAUGCACAGUUUUGGAAUUAUAAUGACCAUCCAGAAGGAAUUUAAUUGGUGAUGAAAUUCAAACUUAGUGCAAGUCAUUUUUUUUUUUAAUGGAGAAAAAAAAAAAAGUCUUGUAUUUAAUCUGGAAUAAAAAUACUUUUGAGAUCUCAAAAAUAUUGGCAUCUUUUUUCCUGUGCAGGCUACUGAGAACUGGGCUUAGUCCAGAAAACCGGUGGCAAUGGCUUGGAAAUGCACGGAAGCACAUAAUCUUGCAAAUCAAGCUGCUAAUGGAAACUGGGGUAUGUCAUUUUUGCUCUCUAUUCCAAGUUUGUUGGUAGCUACCAUCUGGAAUUUAAAAACAUUAAUGAUGAUUAUGAGAUUAGAAGGAUAAAAAGCCACAGCAGCUCUCAGAUAUUACAGCAGAGCUUUUCCCAUGUGCCUGAGGGAAAAGUACUGUAUCCCGUGCAGAAUAUUUUCAGAUUAUUUUAAUUCAGUUGAUUUUUAUUUAUGCAUAUAUUUUUAAUGAUUGAACAAUUGUUCAAAGCCUUUAAAAAGGAUAAAGGGAAACGUUGGGUGCAUAAUUCAUGUGCCAUUUGCAGCCAACCAUCUUGCACAACCAGGAAGGUUCAGAGGAAGAAAAGUACAAUUCAAAAGGAGAUGCUGGGCUGUGAAAUAAGGAAAGAAGCAAAAAUCUCACACUUCCACAGUUUGAACUGUGAAAUGUUAAUUAAGUAUAAAGGAAAAACAUGUUGAAGCUUCAGAGCAUUAUGUCCAAGGCAGAGGAAGUGUCAUGGUUAAGGGUGAAUAUGACUGCAACAUGGCAUGCUGUCUUGCACAGUCAGUUGACUGGAAAACAGAUCCUGAUGCACAGGAUGGAAUGAGCAGGUCUGACUGGCGGGGACAAGGAAUGGAGGUGAAUGGCAGUGGGCAUUCUUCUUUUCUUCUUUUCUUUUCUUCGACAGGUGCCAUCCAAGGUAGAUCCUCAGUCACUGGGUAGGUACCAAACUGUGCCAGGCGUGUAUCCCCUUCCUCUGAAAUGCAACAUUUUGGGGGAAGAGCAGAGAGCCUGCCCAGGCACUCAGUGGGCUCAGUCCAGCCAGGAAUGCUUGUUUUGUUCAUGUUAAGAAGGAUGAAAGAAGGGCAAAGUGUGUGGAAAGUAAGCCCUCACUUAGAAAAAGAAUUUCUGGCUCAAACUAGGUGUAAGCAAAGUUCAUGCAAAUCGUGUUCUAUUAGCAUAUAUGCUGUUUACUUGGGUUUUUUUUUUCCUAGUGCUUUUGUCCUAAACUGGUUAUUUUGGAUUGCAAAUGUGAGGCAGUGAUCAGCUGGUUUUCUGUCAUCACCUGAAGGAGCCACUCUGUGGAUGCUGAAGUGCACUCAGAACACAGGAGAACAGUCACCACGAGUUACAGGGAGACCUCAGAUCAGUGUCCUGCUCAGGAAGAAAAGAAAGAGGUUCUGAUCAGAGGAAGUUGACAGCUUGUCCUUAAAAUUAGACAUGCCCUUGAGGAAACCACACAGGGAUCACAAUUUCCAUCAGCUCCAGAGACGUAGUAGUUGCUAGAGGGGUCAUUUACUUAAGUGGUUGGUACUUUCUGGAGUAUAUAUAAAGAAAAGAAAGUAAGCUAUUACAUUAAAUAGCUCUUAAGUAGGAUGGAACAAUGAGGUUGGUGAAAAGUAGUGUUUAUAAAUGUUACUGAAGAAAAAAUAAUCAGCAGAUGAAGAAGUACAGUUAUUAACACAAAUGAUUUCCAUGCAUGGAUUUGCAAAGCUCUUAGUCCAAACAAACGAUUUAGGUAAUGCCAGUAGAGAUGGAUGGCUGUUCCUACUGAGCACAGAAUUAAGAGAAAAAGAAAGCUGGUGACAUCAGUAUCAUCUGAUUGAAGGUGAACCUAAGCUAAAGAAAUCUGGAAGUGUGUUCAGCCCAGAGCACAACCUGGCAUUACACAAAGCUGUGUGCUGGAGAGGUUAGGGAAGCCGGACAGCUGAUAUCCAUCAAGGAGAGAGAGCUCUUUCUGUGGUGGGCUGGCUAAUUGUUUGUUUAGGCAUUCAGCUGGGUUGCAGAAGACUUGUGUUUGGUUUCAGGUUUGUUUAAAACACCCUAUGCUCCCUGGACCGUUAAUUAUUUGACCUCUGUUGUGGUUCCUAUGUAAGAUGUUGGUAUAAUAGUUCUUUUCAUUGAGGAUAUAUGCUGGUAACCAACCGAAAAGGUCACUGCCCAGGUGCUGUUACUCUGUGUUCCACCCUAUAAAAGACAGAGAAACCAGAAUGGGUGUUUUCUUUCUGUAAGCUUCACUAAUGAAAUCUAUUCUCACUGGAGCUCAUUGAUCAACGUUGUUUGAUGAAUGGUUAUUUGCUUGAUCUAAUGUUUACUGAAGUCAGCAGAAAUCUUUCACUGGACAUUUAAUUUUUAUUUUUUUUCCUGUCUUGCUGCUGUGCUUUAUGGCCAAUGAACCGGCGGAGGAAAAAUGCUCAGGAAUAAAAGCCCUUGGGAUGAGUAUGAAGGAACAGAGAUCUUCAGGGUUAUACAGUUUGUAGCUUUAAAGUAAUGAUAACUUCUUUCAGUUCCAGUUGGAAGACCCCAGAGGCCAAGAUUAACCUUAAUACAACACGUAGGUAAAGAGCAGGAGGUGGAGGAGCACGUGGUACAACAAAGGGUCAUGUCUGGAAGAUGGAGGGAAGGGGGAGCAAACCAAAUAAUUGGUUAUUAUUAGCAACUAAUUACUGUAGAUACUAUGAAUCUUGUGAGAAGCAAUACUGAAAUAGCCGCUGUGGUUUUUAGUUGGAUUAAGCUGUAUUUCAGUCUCAAACUUGUGAAGCUGCAGACACAUAACAUGUGCUGAAGCACAGGUUUAGCUUCUUUAAGAAAUAGAGGUUACAGGUGCAUGUGAUUGUACAUGUACAGCAAAUUCUUUUGUUUUCAAGAAAAUCUUUUAAUUUGAGCUUGAAACUGGAUCCUGCUGGCCUUAUUUUAGACUAGAAGUCUAAAGACUGGAUAAAGAUAGCCUUGCUUUAGUGCAGCAGCAGCAGAUGAAUCUCUGACUUCUCACAAGGUGGUGAUAGCAGUGUGGGUUCUUUGCAAUGCCUAUACUGGAAAAUACUUUCACCAAGGCAGAAUCAGACAGUAAUGAAUUAAUUCCAUUGUGUAGUUCAUCUACUUUGCUUGAUGUGGAUGGUUCUUUUCUGGCAUUGUAUGGCAAUCAUCGUUUUGGUGUGUUUAGACUCUCAUCACAUCAAGGUCCUGAUUUAGCAAAUACCUGGAACAGAAUCUCUAAGUACUGGGAUGUUCUAUGAAAUUGAACAUGUCAUUCAAGUGCUUUAAGGAGGCUUAGUGUAAUUUACUCAUUUUGUCUUUUUGCUGAUAGUUCCUGGAGGGAUUUUUAUGCCUUUAGGACAAAUUAUCUGAUGAACCUGCAAUAAAAAGCAGGACUUAGUCCUAGAGAACAAGAUUCCAAGUGGGUCUUUAAAUUCCACAGCCAAAGCAUCUUUAUGUGGUAAGGAGCAGCACACGAGGCCUUCAGAUGAGACAUUUUCCACAGGAUGAGAAUUCAGUGAAAAUGUAUUUUGAAAAUCCUGCCCUCACUUGAUAUUUAUUCUGCUAUCCAUUUGCAUGCAUUGUCUUUGAGACCAUAUAUUCUAUACCAUGUUAUUGGACAGUGAUAAAUGGCUCAACAAAGUUAAAAUUUAAUGAGAAAAGGGCAAUGAGAUGUUGUGCUUUUAUAAUGACUUAUCUGGCUUGUACAGAUAAGAUUGCGUAUGAAAUAUAAUAAUGUUAUCAAUGUAAUCUAUGUUACUUUGGACAUUACCAUACUUAUGAUUCAUUAACAGUAACUGUUUUGCUAUGUAGCUUUCUGUACUGGUUAUGUUGCUUGGCAACAUUAACUCCAAGAUAAUGAUGUCUUACUGCCUGUGAUUAAAUAAUGCUUUUUCCCCCAUAUUGUUUAUGAUAUAUCUAGCUUAUUUAUUUUCUUGUUUGCAAACUCUGUUCCUUAUUUUUCAUGCCAAAUAUAGCAAGGUAUGUAUACGUUCCUUGAAUAAUUCUGUGCUUAAAAUUCACCGCAUAUAUUCCCCUACUAAAGUGAAUGCAAAUAGCAAAAUAGUAUGAUGGAAAAAUAAAACCAGUGCACAAUAAUGCGAAGAACAUAAAAUGGAGAAGCAGUCUGUAGAACUACUGCUGAUACUGCUGAAUAAAUCCUUAAAGCCUUUUCAGCAGAAGUGCGUUGCUAAUAACCAUGGAUAAUGCCCUAGUUCUAUGAUUUAAUUCUCCUCUUAAAUAAAUAAAUAGGAAGCUAUGGGGCUUGCCCAUAUGCAGUGCUAAACUUUGGAACUUGACCAAGAAAAGUGAAAUACUAUACGCUGAAGGGUAGUAAAUGUCUUCUGAUGCUAUUAGUAGAUGGAUCAAUGUAGUUUAAUAGUAUUUACAGUAGUACAUUGGACCUCCAUGUUAACAGUAUUCUGUACUAAUACCUGAAGCAUAGCACACAUUAAAAUUGAUAUCGGGUGGCUAUUGAACAUAUUUUAAAUGAUUCCGUUAAUUCCUGCAGAGCUUAUCACCAUGGUGACAGCGACAGAAAUUGAACAAACAGGAAAAAAAUUCAGAAUUGAUCCAUCCUAAAUGAGAUUCCAAUGGGAUUUAGAGUCAUGCUUAAAAACUGGGAGCCAAAUAUAAGAGUGAGCGCUCUUCAGCUGAUAGUAUACCCCAUAUCUCCUCCAAGGAGGGCUUCUGUCUGCAGGUUUGGUCCCUGCAUCAUACAUUGCUUUCCAGAUGGCACCACCUAGGAAGUGAUGGUUUUGGAACAGAGGCCUAGAUAGUAAGCUGUGUGCUUCCAAUGUACUGGCAUUAAAUCAAUAAUUCUUUGUGGUUUUGUCAUCUGUAACUGAAGUGUUAAUACUGGUAUGGAUGCAGUAUGAGUGGAAAUGUGCAUGUGACAGCACCAGAAAUUACAGCCAAGUAAAUGUUAAAAGACUGGGACUUGUACCAAACACUCAGCGUGCUGCUCCCAAGGCUCUUUACUCAGGUGUAACGAUGUUGUUAAAUCCACAUGAGAACAUCAGCCCUCUACAAGACUCCACAGCACAGAGGAAGACCUAGGAGGGUGGCAGAAAGUUGCAGCAUGUCAUGCAUACCAAUCCUUUAAGGUUUUCCAACAGGACAGUGUGCCCUUCAAACCAACAAGGAAAAAUGGAGGACGCACAGAAAGCUUGGCUACAACCUACGGAGCUACUGGAGUCAGAAACAAAGCACUGACUGCCAAAACAGGUACGUGGCUUCUCUUUGUGCUCCAGUGCUACUCUUAUUCUAAAUUCAAUCAAUUUCGUGCAAGAGAUGUGAAUGACUCCUGGGAGUGGAACGUUUUCCCACUGUAUUGAAGGGUUUGUAAUGUGUCCAGUUGCUCAUGGUUCGUAGCUGCUUAAUUUUAAUUUCAACAAUGAUCCUUAGAAAUAGAGAAAUUCUUAUCUAACUGAGUGUCUGGAGUAGGUUUAUAAUUACUGUACUUGACUUUCACUGCAGUGUUGGUAUGUGAGGACGUUACAGAAGGUAGCAGGGGAAGGUAUCUGUGAUAUGCAAUUACACUGAUGUCUAUAGAGGACAUAUUUUUAUAGUAGUUUCUUUAGACAGAUGACAUAAAAUCUCAGUGAAAUCUUACUGGAACACUCUGGGUUUUCAUAAACUUUUUUUUUGUGUGUAUGAAGAAUAUUUAAAAAACAAAACAGAUGUUUCACCUAAAUCAAAGCUGGAAGUGGUCCUGUGUAUGAUGUAGUCUCUCCAUGUGAAACUUAAAGUCUAUGCUUCCCAGAUGUGUAACAAAUCCGAGGUUGUGUUUGGUUCUUAGCUUGAACUGGUAACCCUGUCUGCACAAUGUGUUGUUGCUGUGGGAUUUCAAGUAAACAAUAAUAAUAAUAAUAAAAUAAUAAACAGUUCUUCACAGUGCAGCUAGAAUGCAUCAACAUGAUUAAGAGCAAUAUUGAGGCAUAACAGGAACACAGUAAGGUCAAAUCAAAUACCUUCAAGAGUGACAGGGAAUUCUGUUAAGUUUGGAUUAUAUUUACUCUGUCUUGCACCAAAUAAGGAUACUUUUACAAGUACAUCUCUGGCAUCAGGAGGUCUUCCUGUAAUUGAAAUCAGAUGUAGUACAAUUAAAAUACUUUUGCUGAUGCUGGACUAAAUAUUAGCCUGAACAAAACAGUGAGUGAGAAAUGCCCAGGAAGCUAUUAACAGGCAUAGAAGGCUGAGGAUCCCAUCCACUAGUCAUUAUGAAUGAAACAAAUAGAAAAUGGAGCACCUGAUUUCAUAAUGAGAUCCCCGGUGGAGAGGAGUUCACAACAGUAGUGUUGGCAGGCUCUGGACUUAAAGGUAUGCUACAUGACAAAGAGUUGUAAUGGGAAAUGAGCCUUGCAUGACUUGAGGGAGGAGAGUGGCUGGGAAUAGCACAGUGUUUGUACAGGAAUCCAUACCACCUGUGUAGUUAGCGCAUUUACAGUCACAAAGGAGUUCUACUCAGCCCGAAAUUCUUCUAAAUGAUGUCUGGUAUGUAAGAAACAUAGAGCAAAUUAGAAUGAUUUCACUGUGAUAAGUUUUUGUUUGUUUAAUUAUAGCUGUUUCUUUUCCUCCACAGGAAAACAUUUUGACCCUGGUAACAUUUAUAGACAUAGCUGUAGCAUACAAAUGUCUGAAACGAAAUAGUCAAAACUCUCACGUUAUACACUUACUCAAAAUCCAGGUUUAAGACCUUCAUGGGGAAUCAUAUUUAAUAUUUAGUGGAACACUGCCAAUUAUCUUUGGAACCACAGAAUAAUACAUAACUCCACCGUGCACCACAAAGAGCCAUGCGGAACAGUCUGUUCUGACAUGAAUGGAGCUCUGGAUAUAAGCAGUGCUUUAAAAGAAUUGAAGUACAUUAUAAAGAUUCAACGGCUCUCUCUAAAAUGAGUUACUCCCAGCACUGAUCAGGAAACAUGAUCCUUUGAAAAUGAUCUUGGAGAAGAUGCUGCUAUUUUGAUAAUGACGUGACCCCAAUUUAUGCUAAGCUAUACGUAAAAGUAAACUACUUCUUACUACUGUUCAAAUAUUUAUAAGCUUUCCAGGCGAGUGGUGCUAAUUAAAGCUUUAUGCACUUAAGAAGAAAAUUUUAAAUAGUACUUCUAGUUUGGCUUUUAUGAAAUCCUUUUUCACCGGGUUGUCAUACAGCAGCACAGCUGCAGUGACGUGUGCAGAAGGACAUCACAACUGAAGAGCAACUCAGGGGCAACUAUUUCCAUUGCCUUCAGAUUUCCCCAAACUAUUGUUUUGUUGGCUUUCGUACACUCUCAUUUAGAACUGUGGGAUUCAAAUUUAAUUAUUUAAUGUUAACAUUUCUCGAGGCCCCUAAAUGUUGUCAAAGAGGGUGUAGAGCAUCCUGUCUGAACAGUGAUUGCUAUUUCCACUGAAUGCAAGCUAACUAGAAAACAUUAUUAUUUUUUUUUCCUACAGAGAUGUUUCAGGUUCUGUUUUUCUUCCCAUGCCCUCAGAACAGUAUUUUCAAUUUAAUGUUGCUAUUACAAUUUAAUGUUGCUAUUACUUCUUCCUCAUGUUAGUAUGGAACUUUCUGUGUUCCAGUCUGUGCCCGUUGCCCCUUGUCCUGUUGUUGGGCACCGCUGAGAAGAACCUGGCUGUAUCCACUUAGCUCCCACCCUUUAGAUAUUUAGAAGCAUUGGUAAGAUCUCCCUCAUAGUCUUCUCCAGUCCGAGCAGCCCAGGUCUCUCAGCCUGUCCUUGCACAGGAGAUGCUCCAGGCCCCUCACCGUCUUUGUGGCCCUCCGCUGGACUCUCAUAGAAAUUCCCUGCCUUUCUGGGGCUCCCCAGUUCAGAACUGAACACAGUAUUCCAUCCAGGGCAGAGAAGAGGGGGAGGAUCACCUCCCUUGCCCUGCUGGCCACACUCUUUGUAAUGCACCCCAGGUUACCAUUGCAUUCUUUACCACCAGGGCACAUUGCUGGCUAAUGGUCAAGCUGUUGGUCACCAGGACACCCAGGUCCUGCUCCUCAGUGCUCCUCCCCAGCAGAUCGUUCCCUAACCUGUACUAGUGCAUGUACUGUUCCUCCCCAGGUAGGAAGUAGGAUGCUACACUUGCCCUUGUUGAUCCUCAUGUGGUUCUUCUCCACCCAGCUCUUCAGCCUCUCCAGGUCUUGUUGAAUGGCAGCACAGCCAUCUGGUAUGUCAGUCACCUGGCUUCGUAUCAUCAGCAAACUUGCUGAGGGUGGACUCUAUCCUUCAUCCAGAUUGUUGAUGAAGAUGUUCAAGAAGAUCAGAUCCAGCGCUGACCCCUGGAGAAUGUCACUAGUUACAGGUCUCCAACAAGGCUCUGAGCCUCUGAUCACAACCCUCUGAGUUCUGCCUGUUCUCAAUCCACACUUCCUAAGCUUACCUAUGAGGAUGUUAUGGGAGACAAUGUCAAAAGCCUUGCUGAAACCAAGGACGGAUAUUGCAGUCUCAUUAUAAGCAGGCUUCUGCUUCUCCUUAAGAGAAAUAAAGACCUAAUAACACUGUUUCUCAAAGACUAAAACUAGGCAACAGCCCCACAUUUUCCCCAGAACUCUUUUUGCUGCUGAUAGACCUGUUGAAGCUCAUUGUCUUGUACUUCACAUCCACGGAUUCAACUCCAGAUGGGCCUCCGUUUAAAUGUAACAGGAAUGCGUAAUACUUUUGGAGGAGACAAAAUAUCAUCAUCACUCAGCUGGGGCUUCUGUGACAAGGUAGGUUUCUAUUAGAACUAGCUGGUAAUAAAUGUAAAUUGUGAUGAUCGUAAUAAAUAUUUAAUUGAUUUCUGAGUAGUCAGCAAAAAUGAUUUGGCAUAGAUGGUUCACUGCUCUAAAAGCACUAUUUAGAAAAUUCCUUUGCUUCAUAAAUCCCUCUAACGCAUACUACGGAGCUGUAAAUUACUAUUGACCACAGUAUAGAUCUCAAGUCUGUGUCUUUCAGCUAGAAUACAUUGAAUGGUGACCUGAGUUCAAGAACUCUUCAUGUUUUCCUUCUGUGCAUAGCUAUGUCUUCAUUUUGAUGUGCUGACUGCAUGCUUUUCUCCCAUUGAGUCACUUGCCUAUAUCACGAAAGAAUCUAUAAUUGUAAAGUCACUUUUGAAAACUUUCCUUUAAAAUACAUAAUCUACUUCCAAAUGCAAAUUAACUACGAUGAAUCGGGCCCACAUCCAAAAAAAUCCCACUCAAUUAAAAAUCUAAGCAACUGCUCAAACGUUUUACCAUAUGGAAGUACCUCUAAGUAUGAAUUCAAAAUUAACCCUGUAUGGGCUUAACAUGAUAAACUGAGAAGGCAGAUCGUGUUUGUUGGACAAAUUUGUGAGCACCCAGCAGCUGAGUAACACUUGGAUUUACUAAAUGAUUCCCUGCCAUCUUUUACAGUGAUGGUGAGGAAGAUGAGGGUGGGGGAACGUGGCUCUCUGUCCUUGAUCUGAAGGCAAAGAGGUGUUCUCAUCUAUGCAUGUGUGUUACUGGCAACUUGUAGCUUUUUGAUGCACGCAUGAUUAAAUUUUUAUUGCAUAUGUGUGAAAUGAGACAGAAAUGACCUUUUACUACAAUUUCCAUGGUGAUGGUCCUCGUCUCAUUAUCAGUAAUCUGUUUAUUAAUACUGAAUUAACCAGAAAGGGACACCUGGAGAGAACACAGUGUAACACACGUAAAAGUAGGAGAAAGUGAAACUUUGAAAAGGAUUAAAGUCCAAUCAUUAACGUAGGCAUCUGUUUCAAAAAAUCUUUGCAAUUCCAUUGACUCACACAGCCAGGGUGCUUUUCAUGUAGGGAAGCUAAGGAGUUGUGUCUUAUGUUCUUAAUCUUCGACUUUCAUGCAGUGUGUCCUGGAUGUGAAGAGGAAAAGAAAUUGUGCCAUUUCUGUUAUUUUUGAUGCAUGCAUAUACUUAUGUGCAUCUCUAUACACUGUACACCGUUCCCAUUGGCAAUAAUAAUCCAAAUGAGAUGUCACUUGGUUCUCCACUUUUAUUAUACAGAACAUAGAAUAGUGUGUGUUAUGGUGCUGUAUGAGCUACCAAGCCAGAUCUGCAAUAUUUGUUAAGAUGGGAAAUCCACAAAUAAAGCAGCUGAGAAUUCAACACAUCUACUUUUGAGAUGGCAUGAAUGUAUUCACGUGUUGUAUGAGCUGAAGGACUCUGGGUUUCAUAGAUGGGAGGAAAGGAGGUUAUAGUCAGAAGCAAAUAGUAUGAUCAUCAAGAAAUUCCAUUUAUUUCUUGAGUUAUAAGAAAUGAGAGUAAUGGCCUAUUCUUACUGUUUGACGGAAGGUGCGCCAAUAAGUAUCUGCUUUAUUAGAACUAGGAAUUUAUUUAUAACAGGAAUAAAAGCUCCACUGUCACCUGUGAAA